AUUGAACGCUGGCGGCAUGCUUUACACAUGCAAGUCGAACGGUAACAGGGAGCUUGCUCCGCUGACGCGUGGCGAACGGGUGAGCAAUAUAUCGGAACGUACCCAAGAGUGGGGGAUAACGUAGCGAAAGUUACGCUAAUACCGCAUACGAUCCAAGGAUGAAAGUGGGGGACCGCAAGGCCUCAUGCCCCUGGAGCGGCCGAUAUCUGAUUAGCUAGUUGGUGAGGUAAAGGCUCACCAAGGCAACGAUCAGUAGCUGGUCUGAGAGGACGACCAGCCAAACGGGGACUGAGACACGGCCCAGCCUCCUACGGGAGGCAGCAGUGGGGAAUUUUGGACAAUGGGGGCAACCCUGAUCCAGCAAUGCCGCGUGAGUGAAGAAGGCCUUCGGGUUGUAAAGCUCUUUUGUCAGGGAAGAAACGGUUUCGGCUAAUAUCCGGAGCUAAUGACGGUACCUGGAGAAUAAGCACCGGCUAACUACGUGCCAGCCGCCGCCGUAACAC
rnacentral:rRNA from 1 species